UACGUAGGGUGCGAGCGUUGUCCGGAUUUAUUGGGCGUAAAGAGCUUGUAGGCGGCUCGUCACGUCGGGUGUGAAAACUCGCGGCUCAACCGCGAGCCUGCACCCGAUACGGGCGGGCUAGAGUUCGGCAGGGGAGACUGGAAUUCCUGGUGUAGCGGUGGAAUGCGCAGAUAUCAGGAGGAACACCGGUGGCGAAGGCGGGUCUCUGGGCCGAUGACUGACGCUGAGAAGCGAAAGCGUGGGGAGCGAACAGG
rnacentral:rRNA from 1 species